UUUAAAUGAAGACCAGAACAAAAGAUUAAACGUUUAAAUCAAUAUCUAUAUUUAAUUAAUUCAAAUUAUCUUAAAUGUAAAAAGACAUUUAUUAAAAAGAAAGACGACAAGACCCUAUUGAACUUAACUUAAGUUAAACUGGGGCAGUUUAUUAAUAAUAAUUUUAAUAUAAAAAAUAAAAUAAAUAAUCCAAUAUUAUUGAAACGAUCAAGUUACCAUAGGGAUAACAGCGUAAUAAUUUUCCAAAGCUCUUAUAAAAACAAUAGUUUACGACCUCGAUGUUGAAUUAAUUACCUAAUUUAAAGCAAAAGUUAAUAAAGGAAGUCUGUUCGACUUUUAAAAAAUUACAUGAUUUGAGUUCAGACCGGUAUAAGCCAGGUCGGUUUCUAUCUUCUCUCUAAUUCUUAUAGUACGAAAGGGCCUAAGAAACUAAUUUAAUUAAUUAAUUGGCAGAAAAAUGCAUUAGAAUUAGAAUCUAAUGAAACUAAUAUACCAUUUAUUUUACUUUACCUAAUUAUUACAAUUAGA
rnacentral:rRNA from 1 species